rnacentral:rRNA from 1 species
CGAGUGGCGGACGGGUGAGUAAUGUCUGGGAAACUGCCUGAUGGAGGGGGAUAACUACUGGAAACGGUAGCUAAUACCGCAUAACGUCGCAAGACCAAAGAGGGGGACCUUCGGGCCUCUUGCCAUCGGAUGUGCCCAGAUGGGAUUAGCUAGUAGGUGGGGUAACGGCUCACCUAGGCGACGAUCCCUAGCUGGUCUGAGAGGAUGACCAGCCACACUGGAACUGAGACACGGUCCAGACUCCUACGGGAGGCAGCAGUGGGGAAUAUUGCACAAUGGGCGCAAGCCUGAUGCAGCCAUGCCGCGUGUAUGAAGAAGGCCUUCGGGUUGUAAAGUACUUUCAGCGGGGAGGAAGGGAGUAAAGUUAAUACCUUUGCUCAUUGACGUUACCCGCAGAAGAAGCACCGGCUAACUCCGUGCCAGCAGCCGCGGUAAUACGGAGGGUGCAAGCGUUAAUCGGAAUUACUGGGCGUAAAGCGCACGCAGGCGGUUUGUUAAGUCAGAUGUGAAAUCCCCGGGCUCAACCUGGGAACUGCAUCUGAUACUGGCAAGCUUGAGUCUCGUAGAGGGGGGUAGAAUUCCAGGUGUAGCGGUGAAAUGCGUAGAGAUCUGGAGGAAUACCGGU